UUCGAACUGGCCGGCCGGAGGCAGGUUGAGACCGCUGGCAGUUGAGGCCGGUGGCCUAAACGAAGGGGUGGUCGGAGGCGGGUUGAGACCGCUAGCAGUUGAAGUCGCUCCAUCAAAACGCCACUCCACACAGACAGGGCCGGUAGCUACCCAGGCUACUGCCGUUGUUCCAUCACCGAAGUGGCCGACCGCGACCUAGGCCGUAGGUGCUGCGGAGAGCCGCCGGAGGAGCAGGUAGAGCAGGGGCUGCACUAGUCGAGCACUCGUGCCCGUGGUCCUGCCCAGUAGCGGUCUAGGCCGCUGAGGUUCGGACUGGCGGCGGCUUAAAACACUCAGGUGUUAGGGUAGAUAGGAUUGGAGAGAGGUAUACGUGAAGUACUAAAGCCUAAAUUAAUCGUACUAAACUUGUAAGAAACAAAGAAAUGGUCUAGCAGCCGGAAGGGACGAUGAAGUCAAAGUCUAUAAACAACUUGUAAGAAACAAAGAAAUGAUCUAGUAGUCGGAGGGGACGAUGAAGUCAAAGUCUAUAAACAACUUGUAAGAAACAAAGAAAUGGUCUAGCAGCCGGAGGGGACGAUGAAGUAAAAGUAUAUAAACGUUGAACUAAACUUGUAAGAAACAAACACUGUCUCUCGUACCUCAUAUCAAAAAACUUUCUCUGACUCUAGAUACUUUAAUGAAGAGACUUUUAUACAUUAAUGAAGGGACAUUAUAUAAACUUACACCACAACGUUCAACACUUUGUUUAAAUACACUUUACUAAACACCUUAUAUACACUUAAAUAUAAAGUUAUACCACUUUGUCUGUUAAAGUCAGACACCUUCACAAUGUAUAAAGACUUUUACCAACCUUACUAAAACUC
rnacentral:rRNA from 1 species